CCUACUGGGGGCAGCAGUGGGGAAUCUUGGGCAAUGGGCGAAAGCCUGACCCAGCGACGCCGCGUGGGGGAUGAAGGCCUUCGGGUUGUAAAGCUCUUUCGGCAGGAACGAAACGGCGGACUCUAACAUAGUCUGUCAAUGACGGUACCUGAAGAAGAAGCACCGGCUAACUACGUGCCAGCAGCCGCGGUAAUACGUAGGGUGCGAGCGUUAAUCGGAAUUACUGGGCGUAAAGCGUGCGCAGGCGGCUUUGUAAGACGGAGGUGAAAUCCCUGGGCUUAACCGAGGAACUGCGUUCGUGACUGCAAAGCUAUAGUGCGGCAGAGGGGGGUGGAAUUCCUGGGGUAGCAGUGAAAUGCGUAGAGAUCAGGAGGAACACCGAUGGCGAAGGCAGCCCCCUGGGUUGGCACUGACGCUCAUGCACGAAAGCGUGGGGAGCGAACGGGAUUAGAUACCCCAGUAGU
rnacentral:rRNA from 1 species